UAAUAACCAGGCCGUGCCUGGGCCGAGGAGCGGGGCACGUGGGCCGGCACGGCACGACCCGGCUAUUAGACAUGCCACGGCGGGCGUGCCGUACCGGGCCGGCCCGUUUGGCCAGCUCUGCUCCAAAAUGGUUUUGGAAGUAGCAUUUUUAGAGUACCGAUUUUUUUAUUUAUUUGCCACACCUUCUAGGAAUGUGAUUCCAUGACGAAUUUUUGUAAGCACUUAAAACUUUUGUCAAUGUUUGUCACAAAAACAUUUCUGAUUUUUUUGAAUUUCUUUCGAUUUUUUAAUUUUACUGUUAACCCAAGCUCAUUUGAGCUCAGACUCAAAAAGUCUGCGUCCGGCUAACCUUGCAUACAUUCAGGAAUGCGCGGAACUAAAUCAGUAUGCACAAGCAAAGAUCAUAUCGCAAAGAACAUAAAUCUUAGUAUGUAUGGACGUGAAUAAUCUGCUAGCAGCUGGCCUCCAUAUACAGCAGGCUGCCAGAAGAAUUCAACAAUCGGAUUUUCUUCCUCUCUUGCCCACAAUAGCGAGUCUCCCAUGCGAUUUUCGUCUUCAGUCAUCACUCAACAAUAAUCUUUCUUGCAUCAUCUGCUCCAUAUCUCUUACUAAUAUGUUGUCGUCGGUAUUGGAUGUGAAGACAGCUACGCCCCUGAUUUCAUUUUGUUUUCAUCAAAUAUCGUCCUCUCCAUGUCUCUUAUUAACAUUUUUCUUUCUCUACAUUUUCAGCCACAUACGCAGGCCUCUCAAAAGCGUGCUCGUCGGAACUACUGAUUACUCUUGAUGGUUGUCACAAGUGGACUGGAACAAACACCAUGUAGAAAAAUCAAGGAUGUGCGAUUGACUUCUACUUGGCGUUUGAUAAUAAUAAUAAUAACUCCAAUAGAACUUUGAAAUAACUAUUCGUCUUGGACUCUGAGUGUAAUGCUAUCGUCACUUUAUCGGUAUUACUUAUUGUUGUUGUA